rnacentral:lncRNA from 1 species
AUUUCCGUUGCCUCUGUAGUGUUGACAUAAGUCAAUACAUACUGACUUUCGUUUUUGGGCUCAAUUUUUGUUUGUUUGUUUGGUUUGGUUUUUGAGACGGAGUCUUGCUCUGUCCCCCAAGCUGGAGUGCAGUGGUGCAAUCUCGGUUCACUGCAGCCUCCGCCUCCUGAGUUCAAGCGAUUAUCCCACCUCAGCCUCCCGAGUAGCUGGGAAUAGAGGUGUGCACCACCACGCCCGGCUAAUUUUUGUAUUUGUAGUAGAAAUGGGUUUUCACCAUGUUGGCCAUGCUGGUCUCAAAGUCGUGACCUCAGGUGAUCUUGGGCUCAAAUUUUGAUGGGUAGUAAUGAUCUGGAGAUCUGGAGUUCUCAUUAUGAUCUCUCUUUUUCAUUAAUUCAGUUAGUUUAAAAAGUAUGUAUAGAGAGUGUUUAGCAUUCUUAGCCUUGUAUUGAAAAUAUACAAUGACAACACCUAAGAAUUGGAGGGCAUUAUCUUUGUCUAACAGGUGAUUGUAACUUAGAAAUGCAGAUGAAACAAAAGUAAUCAGCAGUGUAAUGUAAGUCUUUUGCUCAGAGAUACCAUGAUUAGUAGCUUACGGAACAGACACAAGUUAAUUAGCCUACAAAUUUAAAAAACCAAAAUGAAUGAAUAAUAAACAGAUUUGGAAGGUAGAUUAGUGGAGUGAAAACCUCAUGCUUUGAAUCUAAGUGCUACUAUUGAUUGUUACCUAGACUUUUUUAGCUUUAAUGCCUUCAUUUGCAAAAUAGGGAUAAUUAUAGCUACCUUGCAGGGUUGUUGUAAAAAUUAGAUAAAUACAAUGUGUUCUAUAAAUGGGGACUAUAUGUAAUGAAUAUUAUUUUCAUGACUAAAUCUCCAUUGGAGCUUCACAGCCAUUAAGUACUAGUAGUAAUACCCAACAAGGGAAAAUUUGGGUUGUUUAGAGUAGCUGGAAGGGUCUUGUCCUUGCGGAGGUGAGACCUGAGUGAGAGUAGAUUACAGACAAUUGAUGCGAGCCAAAGGGAAGAGUAAC